AUGGUGGAGAUUCCGGAGGAGCGGCUGGCGGAGUUCGGGGGAAGGGAUCGCCGCAAGCGCGCACGCCUGAUGGAGAUCGGGACUUGGUACCAAACCAAGGCGGAGAUGCGGGCGGAGGCGCAGGCGGUGAUAGACGUGCUGUCCGCCGAGGAGGAACGAGACCUGAGUGCUGUGAAGUGGGGGCAUCAUCCUCUGGAGGUGCUUCUGUGGGCAAUGGCGCAGGCGGAGUCGGCGGGUGCGGGGAGUGCGGCCAAAUGGGCCCCGUUCCUUUCCUUCGCCACGGCGAAGCUGAAGCCGGCGAUGGAUCCAGCGGCGCUCCGGGGAGACGAGGUGGUGCUGGGGCUCCCUGCCCCAGGAUCAAAGAUGGCCCCGGUGGAGAUCGAUGGGGGAGGCUGCAGGAGUGGGAAGGGGGCGGCGCAGGGGACAAAGCGGCGACUCCAAGGCGUUCGCCUCGUUUGA
rnacentral:rRNA from 1 species